rnacentral:lncRNA from 1 species
CCAUGAGUUCCCGAGCACUCCAAUGGACGGCCUCGCACACGCGAGCUUCUUGCCCCCUCUCGCUCCCCCUCUUCCCAUCCGCGGGCGCGGACUGCAUCAACGAACAUCACAGACACGGUCUCGACCGCCCCCAUGGCCUAUGUCCUCGCCCUCGACCUCUCCUUGCUCGCCAUCCACGGUGAGCCACACCCCCGGCCAUAUAAGGCCUCCCUCGAACCCUCUGUGCUCUCCCUUGGUUCCCUACCCCACCCUUGAACACUCCCGGGCCACCAGCUCGUCCUC